AUUGGGUGAUGAGGGCAUUUGAUGCAUAAUUUCUUGAAUCGCUCCCAAUAAUCAUAGAGCGACUCUCCCGGAUGUUGCUUGAUACUAUAUAUCUCCUUUCUCAGACU